rnacentral:rRNA from 1 species
CAGUAGCCGCGGGAAUACGUAGGUGGCAAGCGUUGUCCGGAAUUAUUGGGCGUAAAGGGCUCGCAGGCGGUUUCUUAAGUCUGAUGUGAAAGCCCCCGGCUCAACCGGGGAGGGUCAUUGGAAACUGGGAAACUUGAGUGCAGAAGAGGAGAGUGGAAUUCCACGUGUAGCGGUGAAAUGCGUAGAGAUGUGGAGGUACACCAGUGGCGAAGGCGACUCUCUGGUCUGUAACUGACGCUGAGGAGCGAAAGCGUGGGGAGCGAACAGGAUUAGAUACCCCCGUAGUCCCUGUCUCUUAUAC